UACGUAGGCAGCAAGCGUUGUUCGGAGUUACUGGCGUAAAGGGUGUGUAGGCGGUUAUUUAAGUUUGGUGUGAAAUCUCCCGGCUCAACCGGGAGGGUGCGCCGAAUACUGAAUGACUUGGAGUGCGGGAGAGGAAAGUGGAAUUCCUGGUGUAGCGGUGAAAUGCGUAGAUAUCAGGAGGAACACCGGUGGUGUAGACGGCUUUCUGGACCGUAACUGACGCUGAGACACGAAAGCGUGGGGAGCAAACAGG
rnacentral:rRNA from 1 species